UGCCAGCCGCCGCGGUAAGACGUAGGGUCCGAGCGUUGUCCGGAGUUACUGGGCGUAAAGCGCGCGCAGGCGGUUCGUCGCAUCGGUGGUGAAAGCCCCCCGCUCAACGGGGGAGGGUCCAUCGAGAUGGGCGGACUGGAGGCAGGGAGAGGCGAGUGGAAUUCCGGGUGUAGUGGUGAAAUGCGUAGAGAUCCGGAGGAACACCAGCGGCGAAGGCGGCUCGCUGGACCUGACCUGACGCUGAGGCGCGAAGGCGCGGGGAGCGAACGGGAUUAGAUA
rnacentral:rRNA from 1 species